rnacentral:tRNA from 2 species
GCGCCCGUAGCUCAACGGACUAGAGCAGCGGUCUUCUACACCGUAGGUUGGUUUGGGUUCGAAUCCCCCCGGGCGCGCCA